AGUCUGACGGAGCACGCCGCGUGAGUGAUGAAGGUUUUCGGAUCGUAAAGCUCUGUUGUUAGGGAAGAACAAGUGCCGUUCAAAUAGGGCGGCACCUUGACGGUACCUAACCAGAAAGCCACGGCUAACUACGUGCCAGCAGCCGCGGUAAUACGUAGGUGGCAAGCGUUGUCCGGAAUUAUUGGGCGUAAAGGGCUCGCAGGCGGUUUCUUAAGUCUGAUGUGAAAGCCCCCGGCUCAACCGGGGAGGGUCAUUGGAAACUGGGGAACUUGAGUGCAGAAGAGGAGAGUGGAAUUCCACGUGUAGCGGUGAAAUGCGUAGAGAUGUGGAGGAACACCAGUGGCGAAGGCGACUCUCUGGUCUGUAACUGACGCUGAGGAGCGAAAGCGUGGGGAGCGAACAGGAUUAGAUACCCUGGUAGUCCACGCCGUAAACGAUGAGUGCUAAGUGUUAGGGGGUUUCCGCCCCUUAGUGCUGCAGCUAACGCAUUAAGCACUCCGCCUGGGGAGUACGGUCGCAAGACUGAAACUCAAAGGAAUUGACGGGGGCCCGCACAAGCGGUGGAGCAUGUGGUUUAAUUCGAAGCAACGCGAAGAACCUUACCAGGUCUUGACAUCCUCUGACAAUCCUAGAGAUAGGACGUCCCCUUCGGGGGCAGAGUGACAGGUGGUGCAUGGUUGUCGUCAGCUCGUGUCGUGAGAUGUUGGGUUAAGUCCCGCAACGAGCGCAACCCUUGAUCUUAGUUGCCAGCAUUCAGUUGGGCACUCUAAGGUGACUGCCGGUGACAAACCGGAGGAAGGUGGGGAUGACGUCAAAUCAUCAUGCCCCUUAUGACCUGGGCUACACACGUGCUACAAUGGACAGAACAAAGGCAGCGAACCGCGAGGUUAAGCCAAUCCCACAAAUUCUGUUCUCAGUUCGGAUCGCAGUCUGCACUCGACUGCGUGAAGGCUGGGAUCGCUAGUAAUCGCGAUCAGCAUGCCGCGAUG
rnacentral:rRNA from 2 species